rnacentral:rRNA from 1 species
GCUGGCGGCGUGCUUAACACAUGCAAGUCGCACGAGAACGUUUCAGCUUGCUGAAACUAGUAAAGUGGCGUACGGGUGAGUAACGCGUGGGUAAUCUACCUCUGAAUUGGGGAUAACAUUGCGAAAGCGAUGCUAAUACCGAAUAACAUCUCAAUAACUUCGGUUUUUGAGAUCAAAGGUGGCCUCUCCAUGGAAGCUACUGUUUGGAGAUGAGCCCGCGUACCAUUAGCUUGUUGGUAGGGUAACGGCCUACCAAGGCGACGAUGGUUAGCUGGUCUGAGAGGAUGAUCAGCCACACUGGAACUGACACACGGUCCAGACUCCUACGGGAGGCAGCAGUGAGGAAUUUUGCGCAAUGGGGGAAACCCUGACGCAGCAACGCCGCGUGAGUGAUGAAGGCUUUCGGGUCGUAAAGCUCUGUCAAGUGAGAAGAAUCUGCCCUUUGCUAAUAUCACUGGGCACUGACGGUAUCACUGAAGGAAGCACCGGCUAACUCCGUGCCAGCAGCCGCGGUAAUACGGAGG